GUGAGGAAUAUUGCGCAAUGGAGGCAACUCUGACGCAGCCAUGCCGCGUGCAGGAAGAAGGCGCUACGCGUUGUAAACUGCUUUUAACCGGGAAGAAACCCCAGGACGUGUCCUGGGUUGACGGUACCGGAGGAAUAAGCACCGGCUAACUUCGUGCCAGCAGCCGCGGUAAUACGAAGGGUGCAAGCGUUAUCCGGAUUCAUUGGGUUUAAAGGGUGCGUAGGCGGAGCGUUAAGUCAGUGGUGAAAUCCUGCAGCUUAACUGUAGACUUGGCAAUUAUACUUGCGCUCUUGAGUGCGCUUGAAGUGGGCGGAAUGUGCCGUGUAGCGGUGAAAUGCUUAGAUAUGGCACAGAACACCAAUUGCGAAGGCAGCUCACUAAGGCGAUAAUGACGGUGAGGCACGAAAGCGUGGGGAUCGAACAGGAUUAGAAACCCGAGUAGUCC
rnacentral:rRNA from 1 species